GUCCUAGCCGUAAACGGUGCGUGCUUGCUGUAAAAGGAAUCGACCCCUUUUGUGGCGGAGCCAACGCGUUAAGCACGCCGCCUGGGAAGUACGGUCGCAAGAUUAAAACUCAAAGAAAUUGACGGGGGCCUGCACAAGCGGUGGAGUAUGUGGCUCAAUUCGAUGCAACGCGAAGAACCUUACCUGGCCUUGACAUGCAUAUAGUAGAAGGGUGAAAGCCUGACGAGGUAGCAAUACCAGUAUGCACAGGUGCUGCAUGGCUGUCGU
rnacentral:rRNA from 1 species